rnacentral:rRNA from 1 species
GAUGAACGCUGGCGGCGUGCCUAAUACAUGCAAGUCGAGCGAACAGACGAGGAUUUUGCUCUUCUGACGUUAUCGUCGGACGGGUGAGUAACACGUGGAUAACCUACCUAUAAGACUGGGCUAACUUCUGGAAACCGGAGCUAAUACCUGAUAAUAUAUUGAACUGCAUGGUUCAAUAGUGAAAGACGGUUUUGCUGUCACUUAUAGAUGGUUCCGUGCCGCAUUAGCUAGUUGGUAAGGUAACGGCUUACUAAGGCAACGAUGCGUAGCCGACCUGAGAGGGUGAUCGGCCACACUGGAACUGAGACACGGUCCAGACUCAGACGGGAGGCAGCAGUAGGGGAGGGGAAGAAAUGGGCGAGAGCCGGACGGAGAAGCGGCGCGUGAGUGAGGAAGGUCUUCGGAUCGUAAAACUCUGUUAUUAGGGAAGAACAAAUGUGUAAGUAACUAUGCACGUCUUGACGGUACCUGAUCAGAAAGCCACGGCUAACUACGUG